rnacentral:rRNA from 1 species
GACGAACGCUGGCGGCGUGCCUAAUACAUGCAAGUCGAGCGCAGGAAGCUGACGGAACUCUUCGGAGGGAAGGCAGUGGAAUGAGCGGCGGACGGGUGAGUAACACGUAAGGAACCUGCCUCAAGGAUUGGGAUAACUCCGAGAAAUCGGAGCUAAUACCGGAUAGUUCAACGGACCGCAUGGUCCGCUGAUGAAAGGCGCUUCGGCGUCACCUUGAGAUGGCCUUGCGGUGCAUUAGCUAGUUGGUGGGGUAACGGCCCACCAAGGCGACGAUGCAUAGCCGACCUGAGAGGGUGUUCGGCCAGACUGGGACUGAGACACGGCCCAGACUCCUACGGGAGGCAGCAGUAGGGAAUCUUCCACAAUGGACGAAAGUCUGAUGGAGCAACGCCGCGUGAGUGAUGAAGGUUUUCGGAUCGUAAAACUCUGUUGUAAGGGAAGAACACGUACGAGAGGGAAUGCUCGUACCUUGACGGUACCUUACGAGAAAGCCACGGCUAACUACGUGCCAGCCGCCGCAGUAACAC